CCUACGGGGGGCAGCAGUGGGGAAUAUUGGACAAUGGGGGCAACCCUGAUCCAGCCAUGCCGCGUGUGUGAAGAAGGCCCUCGGGUUGUAAAGCACUUUCAGUGAGGAAGAACGCCUGGUGGUUAAUACCCAUCAGGAAAGACAUCACUCACAGAAGAAGCACCGGCUAACUCCGUGCCAGCAGCCGCGGUAAUACGGAGGGUGCGAGCGUUAAUCGGAAUUUCUGGGCGUAAAGCGCGCGUAGGUGGCUUGAUAAGCCGGUUGUGAAAGCCCCGGGCUCAACCUGGGAACGGCAUCCGGAACUGUCAAGCUAGAGUGCAAGAGAGGAAGGUAGAAUUCCCGGUGUAGCGGUGAAAUGCGUAGAGAUCGGGAGGAAUACCAGUGGCGAAGGCGGCCUUCUGGACUGACACUGACACUGAGGUGCGAAAGCGUGGGUAGCAAACAGGAUUAGAUACCCUGGUAGUC
rnacentral:rRNA from 1 species